rnacentral:rRNA from 1 species
CAGUCGCCGCGGUAAUACGUAGGUGGCAAGCGUUGUCCGGAAUUAUUGGGCGUAAAGGGCUCGCAGGUGGUUUCUUAAGUCUGAUGUGAAAGCCCCCGGCUCAACCGGGGAGGGUCAUUGGAAACUGGGAAACUUGAGUGCAGAAGAGGAGAGUGGAAUUCCACGUGUAGCGGUGAAAUGCGUAGAGAUGUGGAGGAACACCAGUGGCGAAGGCGACUCUCUGGUCUGUAACUGACGCUGAGGAGCGAAAGCGUGGGGAGCGAACAGGAUUAGAUACCCGGGUAGUCCCUGUCUCUUAUAC